rnacentral:rRNA from 1 species
AUCGAACGCUGGCGGCAGGCUUAACACAUGCAAGUCGAGCGGAUGAAGGGUGCUUGCUUCUGGAUCUCGCGGCGCACGCGUGUGUAAUGCCUAGGAAUCUGCUUGGCUGUGGGGUAUAAUGUCCUCAAACGGGUGCUACUACUGCAUACGUCCAGCGCGAGCUAGUGGGUGAUCUUUGGAACUCUCGCUCUCAGAUGAGUCUAGGUCGGAGUAGCCAGCUGGUGGGGUAAAGGCCUACCUAGGCGACGAUUCGCAACUGGUCUGCGAGGGUGAUCAGUCACACGGGAGGGUAGACACGGUCCUGACGCCUACGGGAGGCAGCAGUGGGGAACAGGAGACAAUGGGCGGAAGCCUGAUCCAGCCGGGCCGCGUGUGUUAAGAAGGUCUUCGGAUUGUAAAGAACGUUAAGUUGGGAGGAAGGGCAGUAAGUUGAUACCUUGCUGGAGUGACGUUACCGACAGAAUAAGCACCGGCUAACUACGUG